AUACCUACCUGGCAGGGACGAUACCAUGGAUACCAUGAUCAUGGAGGUGGUUUUCCCAGGGCGAGGUUCAUCCACUGCUCUCAGGGCAUGCUGGCUGCUGCUAUUCCCCCAAAUUCAGGAAACUUGACUACAUAAUUUGUGUUAACGGGGACUGCAUUCUCGCUCUGCCUCU
ensembl:snRNA U1 U1 spliceosomal RNA